UAUAAUAAUAACCACUGCAGCCAAGAAGAGUGCCUGACGAGCCCAUUUACAUGAACUGUGUGCCUGCACAACGUAGAACUCUUCAGCAGUGCAACAUCUCCCUCUAGUGGAAAAUAAAUUAAUAAACGAGAAGUUGAUUAUUUGCUGUCGUUUACAGCACAGAUCUUAUGGGUCUUCAGCAGGACAACAUCUCCAUCUAGUGGAAAAUAACUCACAUGAGAAGAACCCAGGGCCAUCCAGUGACGUCACUGUGCCCACCUUUGCUGAGUACUACUCAGAUACAGUUAAAGCUAUAAUGAAGCCCCACAGUUUAGCCUAAAUAAAGAGUUUAACACCAAAAUCUAUAAAAACUUGCUGUAGUCAGUGGAUCAAACGGACAUGAACAAGUCACUUUAUCUCUGAGGAUCUUUAAGUUUACACCUGUAAAAUAACUGGAAAUGUGUGUGUUAAUCCUCUAUCCACACUCACAAUCUGCUGGAGUGACUCCAUCACUCCGAGUGUGUGAGAUCCUGAAUCCAUGCACUUUGAGAAAAGUUUCUAACACAGGUACUGUCUGCAUAUUUGCAGUUGUAACAUUUAUAACUGUGGCUGCAUUUCUUCAAA